rnacentral:rRNA from 1 species
AUUGAACGCUGGCGGCAUGCUUUACACAUGCAAGUCGAGCGGCAGCGCGGGGGCAACCCUGGCGGCGAGCGGCGAACGGGUGAGUAAUGCAUCGGAACGUAUCCUGUAGUGGGGAAUAACUCACCGAAAGGUGAGCUAAUACCGCAUAAGCUCUGAGGAGGAAAGCGGGGGACCGAAAGGCCUCGCGCUGCAGGAGCGGCCGAUGUCCGAUUAGCUAGUUGGUGAGGUAAAGGCUCACCAAGGCGACGAUCGGUAGCUGGUCUGAGAGGAUGAUCAGCCACACUGGGACUGAGACACGGCCCAGACUCCUACGGGAGGCAGCAGUGGGGAAUUUUGGACAAUGGGGGAAACCCUGAUCCAGCCAUGCCGCGUGAGUGAAGAAGGCC